GGCUAUUUUCCUAUAAAGAUAUAAUGAAAAAUGAGCACAUGUUUUAUUUCUGGCAUUUUGAAUUUUGUUUGGUUUCAGCCUCAGUGUAAAAAUCUACUUCAUUAAGUUUUAUGCUAUAAAACCAAUGACUUUUCAGAGUUCAUUUACUUGGUUUACGUACCGUAGGUGCUAAAUCAUGGCAGUGGGAGCAUCGUGGAGAAUAAAAAUUCACAAACCACAGUUCUCCUGAGUUAACAGCAGCAUCUAGAUGGAUAGAAGAAAAUUAUGAUGCUCCAACAUGCGUUUGUGAAGACAGGUAGUGCAGAGUAACCUCCAUUGUUAUCCCUUGGAUGUCUGUUUAUAUUCCUUAUCCCAGGAUGUCUGUUUUGUUCUAUUUAAUACUUGGAGACUGAUGUCUCAGAACAGGCUGUUCUUAUUUGAUUCGGGCAGGGAAACAGCAAGUGCCCCAAAACAAAAUGGAAAGAGGAAAACUCAACAGCUUACCAACAAGGUAAUACCGUACACAAAGAAGUUUUCCUCUAGUUACAAAACUGUGAGAAUUAAAGAAUCUUGACUCUUUUUACUAUGGAAAUUUAAUGCAGCCCAAAUUCAACACAACCACAUAUGACAACUCAACCACUUUUUGUAAAUUUUCUCUGCAGAAAAUCUGAGUCAAAGUGUAUUAUCAGGUGAUUACUU